rnacentral:rRNA from 1 species
UACAGAGGGUGCUAGCGUUGUUCGGAAUCAUUGGGCGUAAAGGGCGUGUAGGCGGUUUGUUAAGUCAUGUGUGAAAUCCCACGGCUCAACCAUGGAAGUGCUUUCGAAACUGCUGAGCUUGAGUACGAAAGAGGAUCGCGGAAUUCCCGGUGUAGAGGUGAAAUUCGUAGAUAUCGGGAGGAACACCAGUGGCGAAGGCGGCGAUCUGGGUCGAUACUGACGCUGAGGUGCGAAAGCGUGGGGAGCAAACAGG